AUGAGGAGCGCCUCUGCCCGGCCGCCCCGUCUGGGAAGUGAGGAGCCCCUCUGCCUGGCCGCCACCCCGUCUAGGAAGUGAGGAGCGUCUCUGCCCGGCCGCCCCGUCUGGGAAGAAGUGAGGAGCGCCUCUGCCCGGCCACCCAUCGUCUGGGAUGUGAGGAGCGCCUCUGCCCGGCUGCCCCGUCUGGGAAGUGAGGAGCCCCUCUGCCUGGCCGCCACCCCGUCUAGGAAGUGAGGAGCGCCUCUGCCCGGCCGCCCCGUCUGGGAAGAAGUGAGGAGCCCCUCUGCCCGGCCGCCACCCCGUCUAGGAAGUGAGGAGCGUCUCUGCCCGGCCGCCCCAUCUGGGAAGUGAGGAGCACCUCUGCCUGGCCGCCCCGUCUGGGAUGUGGGGAGCACCUCUGCCCGGCUGCCCCGUCUGGGAGGUCUACCACAGAGGCCAGAAGCAAUGUGGGGGCUGGAUGUGGUGGCUCACGCCUGUAGUCCCAGUACUCUGGGAGGCUGAGGCAGGUUGAUCACUUGAGGCUAGGAGCUCGAGACCAGCCUGGCCAACGUGGCGAAACAUAUGAAAAAUACAACUGUCAAACCAACCAACGAACCAAGCGACAACAAAACAGGUCUACCCUGGAGUCAUACUCUAAUUUUUUCUAUUUUCCUCCCUUUCUGAUCCUUUAUCCCACUUUCUUUUUCUUCCUCUUCCUUCUCCUUCUUCUUUGUCAAAUAGAGGAUUGAGUUAUUAUCAUUGAUCCAUACAAAGUCCCUCUCUCAUUUAUUUUCUUUAAUUCCCACCCCCCAUUUCUAUUCCCCGUCUUCCCAUGUGCAACCUUCCUAAUAUGUUUGAUAUGCAUCUUUUUGUUCGUAUGUACUUUUGGAAAAUGUUAAUUGUUUUGUGUGCAAAAAAAAAUAAAAAUAAAAUAAAAUAAAAUAAAAACAAGCCCCUCUCAUACACACAGAUCUCCCAAUCAGUUUGUCAGUGUCUUCCAUGCUUAAACAUAAAUGGACAGCCAAGGAUUGCUAGAUAUUUGAGUAACACGUCCAAAAUGAAAGAAAAACUAAAGAUAAAUAAAUAGGAUCUGAAUUUGGAGAAAAUAGAAUGCAAAAAGCAGAAAAGAACUUUCAACUCAAAUUGUUAUCCUUGGAGAGAUUAUUAAAGAGACUGCAUCUAUAAAUCAAGAACAAUGUGCUAUUUAUAAAAAAGAUCAACACCAAAAGAACCACAGAAAAAAAAAUUUCCAAUUCUCAAAAUAAAAAAAAGGAAUAGAAGUAUCUCAGGAAGUACAACAAAAUGUAAGAUAUAAGGCACAAAGAUAAUCAACAGAUCCAAAAUCCUAUUAAUGAAGAGUUCCAGAAACAGAAAACAAGAGAAAAAAAAUUAAUGAAGAAAUAGCACAAAGAAAUGUCCCAGAGUUAAGAGAUUUCAAUCUCUAGAUAGAAAGGGCCCAACAUAGUGAGCACUCAGUACAAUUAAUAAUAAAACUAAAUAAGCAAACAAAAAACAUUGAAAUUUCAGAAUACCUGAGAUUUUUUAAGUUUGGGAGAGAGGAGGUCACCAAAACAGGAAAAGAAUCAGAACAGCAUAACACCUACAUAAUGUGAUAGAACAAAAUAGAACAACGAUCCUAAAACCUUGAGGAAUAAUUAUCUUCAACAUCAAAUUCUAUAUCCAAAUUAGCAAGCAAGUGUGAGAUUGUCAGAUACAGGACGACUCAGAAAAUUUACCCCUCACCCACACUUCCUUAGCAAGUUACUUGAGCAUGCACUCCAGGAAAUGGAGGUACUGAAUGGUAACAGGAAGCCAUGAGAUUCGAUAAACAGCAAAUCACAUUCCGGAGGGUCGGCAAGGGGAAUGCUGUAGUUAACACCCAUAUGGCAGAGUGCUGAGGAAGAACGAAAACUUUAUUAUUCAGGACAGUUAAAUAAAUAUGUAGUAUCUAAAAUGUGUAAGUGUGUAAGUCGUGAAAAGAGCGACAUAAUUAUUUAGUGCUAUGAAGAUGGCGACCAAAAGAAACACCUAAAUAAUUAAAAGAGGAUGCCAUUGGAAAAAACAUUUGGGGGGCAUGGGGCAGUGGGUGGCCAUUUGGCCCAAUUUUUUUAAACCAUGCAUAUGAAUCACUUUGAUAAAAAUGUAAACUGUAUCUCUUUAAAGGGCACAGAGAGAGGAUUAGCCCUCAUCAGAAGGGCCGCUUCUCCUGAGACUACAAGAUGAUGAGCAUGCUAAGUAAAGCUAAGGGUUAGAAGUGAGAUGUUUCACUGGGCUUGAUAGGUAGACUUGAUUUCCUGUAAGGCAGGAAGCUAAAUUAUAAAUAUAAUGCAAAAUAAAAAUGUUUGCUAAGAUUGAGAAAGCAGCACUAGAGUAGAUGGUCUAUGUGAAGUAGUGAAGGCUUGGCAGAGCUAUAAUGGGCAAAGGGGAAAGAAGGUGACCAGAAACUUGUCAAAGUAUAUACACCACAAUGCUAAGGAUGGAGAGUAUAUAUUUACAGAAGGAAAAAAAAGUAUGCCACUUUAGGGCUUGUGAAGGUGUGGUUCCUUUCUCGGAAUUACACUUAUUAAUUCAAAGUGCCUCAAUAAUAUAUCAAUCAGAUCAUUAAAGUUGCAUAAAAUCAUUUGCUAUGUAUUAAAUGUAGCAAUUAUUUGUUCAUGUAAGUGAUAAAAGAAGACGAUCUUCCACAAUGUACAAGAGUCCACGAGAGACUUUAUCAACAUGUUAUCUAGCAUUCUAAUCAAAUUCUAAGUAUGAGCAAAGUCCCUUCCUAACAAAAUUGUGAAUGCCUUGAGAAUUUUAUUCAUGACUGACAUUUUCGAAGAAGCAACUUUUAUUGAACACCUACUGAUUGUCAGGUAAUGUGCUGGUGCUAAAAAGAGAGUCGUGCCUAACCUCAAGGAGUUCACUGUCCACAGGAAGAGUGAGACAAUUAACUCAACAAUUAGAACAGAAUUUGAUAAAUAUGGAACACGUUUGUCUUGCUAACCAAAGUAUUCCCAAUGUCUGAUUUCAUUAAAGCAUCCCAAUCUGUAAUUACUGAAGUGCUGCCCCAGGGCAGGAAAAAUAGGAAUAAAUACAGCAAAGAAUGGCAAGAAGGGAAUUCCAGACAAAGAAAAGAGCAUGUGUAAAAGCCAGAAGAAAGGACAAAGGAAGUAGGAGGCAUUAAAAGGUAUGCAGGUAAGAGGACAUGGCAGAAGGGUUGCAAGGGUAGGGUGCUUUGUUUUCAGACCAAAUUGCUGAUCGACAGCCAAGGCGCAUCAUUUUAUUUUCAUUCUGGGGGCCAGAAAUUGUUGAAACCAUCUGAAACACACUUUCAACACUACAUAUAAACGGCAAAUAUUUAUCACUAUUUGAUUUUUUUUUUUGUCCUUUUCUGAAGACAGGGUCUCACUCUGUCACCCAGGCUGGAAUGAAGUGGCAUGAUCAUAGCUCACUGCAGCCUAGACUUCCUGGGUUCCAGUGAUCCUCCCACCUCAGUCCCCCGAGUAGCUGGGACCACAGGUGCCUGCCACCAUGCCUGGCUAAUUUUUUAUGUCACCAGGGUCGGCUAAUUUUUGUAUUUUUGGUAGAGAUGCGGAUUCACCAAGUUGCCCAGGCUGGUCUCAAAUUCCUGAGCUCAAGCAAUCCACCUGCCUCAGCCUCCCACAGUGCUAGGAUUACAGGCAUGAGCCACUGCACCUGGCUAUUACUGGACUUUCAAAUUUUCAAAGUUCAAAGAUGUUGCAAAAUGACAGACUCAAAACCGUUUUCAUUUAUAAAACUAGAGACCUUUUAAGCCUUUGUAACAAAUGUAUCAAGAGAUACUCAUAUUAAAAAUCUAUAUGAAAAUAAGCCACCUUUAAAUCAAUAUAAUGAAAUACUAUGACCCUUUUGACAUAUAAAAACACGUAUUUAAAAUAUAGUAGAAACAUUACAUAAAUUCACUAAAUACAAUCACAUGAAAACGCAUGCAUUGUACAUUGUUCAGAUGAAAAGAAAAAUAAGCAAAUAUCUGGUUUCAAGUAUUUAGACAGUGUUCAUUUGUAUAGUUAAGUGUGUUAUAAAUCUCUUUAAAAACCCCUAAACCUAGGUAUAAAUACCUUAGAAUUAUAAAAAUUUCAAAAUUUGAUCUAAAACUCCAAAAUGUAAAAACCUAAGAGGUAUGAUGCAGUUAUACAAAUACUUUUAAAGAAGGUAUUUUCUGUAUUAUACUAUUUGCAGAAACAUAUUAAAAUUAACAAACCAUGGGAAUUACAAGAUACCAAAUUCUGGAAUUAAAUUCUUUCCUGUUUUCAUGUGAAAUAGCACCUGUUUUCUAAAUAUGUAUAACCAAGGUCCUAAAAUUAAAAUUCCCAAAGAUAAGUUAUCACUAUAAACAGGAACAACCACAACAAAUGGAAAUAUAAAGAAAACCUAUAGCACUCACAGUCCCUUACUAAUCCUAGUAAGAUAGCUAUAGAAUGGAGAAAGUCCAUAAUUCCAGUCCUAAAGCCAGUCAAAACGUAGUUGUGACUCAUCAGAAGCCUUGAUAUUAUAAAGAUUUCAAUUCUUCCUCCAAAUGGUCAAUGGAUUCUAUGCAACGCUCAUCAAAAUUCUAGCAGGUUUUUGAAAACUGACAAGCUGAUUCUAAUAAGAAUAAUCAAGACAAUGUAGAACAGGGGUCAGCAAACUAUGGCCUAUGUUCCAAAUACAGUUAAAAGUGAUCUUUCUUACAUUCUUGAAGGUUUAAAACAAAAAAAAAAAGGCUGCACAUGGUGGCUCAUGUCUGUAAUACCAACACUUUGGAAGGCCAAGGUGGGCAGAUGGCCUGAGCCCAGGAGUUCGAGACCAGCCUAGACAACACAGGGAGAUCCCAUCUCUACAAAAAAUAAAGUAGCCAAGCAUUGUGAGACACACCUGCAGUUCCAGCUACACGGGAGGCUGAUGUGGGAGGACUGCUUGAACCCAGGAGGUCAAAGUUGUAAUGAGCUGUGAUCCUGCCACUGCAUUCCAGCCUGGGCAACAGAGUAAAGACCCUGUCUCAAUAAAAUUUUUUUAAAAUGUGAAAAAAAAAAAAAAAAAAGAAAAA